UUUUAGUAGAGACGGGGUUUCACCAUAUUGGCCAGGCUGGUCUUGAACUCUUGACCUCAAGUGAUCUGCCUGCCUCGGCCUUCCAAAGUGCUGGGAUUACAGGAGUGAGCCACUGUGCCUGGCCAGAACUGCCUUCCUUUUGAAGGCUGAGUAAUAUUUUAUUGUGCGUGUGUGCUGCAUUCUGUUCAUCCAUUCAUAUAUUGAGGGACACCUGUGUUGCUUCCACCUUUGGCUAUUGUGAAUAGUGCUGCUAUCAACAGGGUUGUACAAAUACCUGAUCGAGACUCUGCUUUCAAUUCUCUGGGGCAUGUACCCAGAAGUGGAAAUGCUGGAUCAUACUGGUAAAAUAUACACAACAAAAUUUACCAUCUUAACCUUUUUUCUUUUUUUCAGUGGUAAUUCUGGCUGAGGUGAGUGGCUCACACCUGUAAAUCCAGCACUUUGGGAGGCUGAGAUGGGAGAAUUGCUUGAGCCUAGGACUUCAAGACCAGUCUGGGUGACAAAGUGAGACCCCGUUUCUACAAAAAAAAAAAAUUAAAAAGGUAAUUUUGUUUAAUUUUUGAGGAUUCACCAUCUUGUUUUCCUUACUCCUCCCUUUGAUGUGCAGUUUCUGUACUCAAUGGGGUCUUCUGUGAAUGAGGCAGUUCCAAGACAAGCUGCCUUCUGGUCCCCCAAGUGAGGCAGGCGAAGAUCACAGAGCUGAGCCUUCGCUGGCUGUGACACGCCACUCCACAAAAGCCUCUUAUUAGCGACUAAGAGCCAUUACGUCAUCAAAUCUUAUCAGACCUGCCACCUUGCCUAGCAAUUUUACAACAAUUACUCUAGAAGAAUGACUUUGUACAAACAAGCAGAAAGUAUGAACGCUGGCCAUCUAUGCAAGUUUUAACAAUCCAGGUGCUAGAUCCACCCAGAACUUGCAGAUUACCCUGUGUACCCACUUCGUGAGCUGCACACACAGUCCUGCUGUUCUGUUGUGUAGCCAGAGUUGAGACCCCUUUACGUACUUCCUCAGGCAACAUUUGGGCCAAAUCCCACUCUGGAAACCUCCUCCCUCAACUUUGUGGCCUCUGAGCAGAUCACUUUCCAUUUCCAUUUAUUUCUUUUUCUUCUUUGCUUGGUUUCUGGCACAUUCCUCUUUGAACUGCCAAGAUCAUGCUAGGUAAAUGUUUAUUGAAUGUAAGCUAGCAGCUUGGUUUUAGGAGACACAUAUUUUAUAGCAAGGGGUUUCAAACUUGAACGUGUGUCAGGAUCACUGGGGGGCUUGCCGCAACAGCCCACCGGGCCCCAUCCCUAGAGUUCCUGAGUAGUAGGUCUGGAGGGAGGCCUGAGAAUUUUUUGCAUUUCUAACAGGUUCCCAGGUAAUGACGCUGCUGCUGGCAUCAGUAUCACCCGGGAACUUCUUAGAAAUGAGGACCACACUGUUUCAGCGGAAUACGAAAGUGUUCUCAAUUCACAUAGCGUCCAGCUAAUCAAAACCACAAGUAGAAACUAGAGGUGUCACCAGCCUAUAGACUGACUAACAGAGACUGUGAGCUCAGUCUGGCAGAGUGGAAUUAUAAGGCUGUGUGACCUUGAGCAAGUUGUGUAACCUCUCUGACCUUCAGUUUGCUUAUCUGCAAAAUGGGAUAAUAAUAAUAGCCAACGUUUGUGACAUGCUUACUACAUAUGCCACACACUGUUCUAAGCACUCCACAGUAAGUAUCAUCACAUUUCAUCCUCAUAACAAGCCUAUGACUCGAUACUGUUGUUAUGCCUCUUACAGAUGAAGAACGUGAGACAUGGUACAGUAGAUGGCGGGCAGUAGCUGGCACACAGCCAGCAAGAGGCUGAACCAAGAUUCCAAUCCAGGCAGUUGGGACCCAACGUCUGAGCUUUCAUACUAGGGAGCCCCUCUCACCCCCUUCAGACCCCCCCUCAAGGGCUUCUGAGAGGAAAGUGUGAUGAUUUGUAAAACGCUGGCUGAUAGCCUGGUACACGGAAGCACUCAACAAAGUUUGUGGUUAUUGUGAGUUGGUGCCCGGACGUGCACCUAUCUGUGUCCUUGUAGGCUGUGCCCAAGGACAUCCCAGCACGUGUGUUGACUAUUGCACAGAUCCACAGAAUAUCAGACCCCAAAAUCAUGCCCGUUGGACAGGAGGGGGCUGUCCAUAUUAUGUAAUGUGUUAAUUCUUGGGUCCUUGGAUGGGACAAGGUUGUGAAUAUGCAUCACUUAGAAAACUUAUCAGCGAGCGAGGAAUGGAGUUGUUUACAAAACCAAGCCCUUGACGUCUUCCUGGACCUCAACCUCAUCUCAUCAGCUCCCCCUACGGAGUGGGGCGGAGGCGGCGGAAACGCUGAACGCUCAGGGUCGACAGGAGCAGGGGCUGCACUGCCCGCCACCUAGUGGCCAAAGUGAGCAGGUCCCCUAAAAGACACGACGCCCCGCGAUCUGCGUUUCUUCCCUCUGCAGCCCCGGAAGAAGGAGGUGGGCCGUUCUCGCAUUGCUGUAAAGGAAUACCUCAGACUGGGUAAUUUAUAAAGGAAGAGGAUUCAUUGGCUCACAGUUCUGCAGGCUGUACAGGAAGCGUAGCAGCAUCUGCUUCUUGGAAGGCCUCAGGAAGCUCCCGAUCAUGGCAGAAGGCAAAGAGGGAGCAGAUGCAUCACACGGCGAAAGCAGGAGCAACAGGAGCAGGAGGUGCCACACACUUUUUUUUUUUUUUUUUUUUUGAGAUGGAGUCUCGCUCUGUCGCCCAGACUGGAUGAAGUGGCGCGAUCUUGGCUCACUGUAACCUCUGCCGCCUGGGUUCAAGCGAUUCUAGUGCCUCAUCCUCCCGAGUAGCUGGGAGGCCUCCACAAUCACCGAUCACUGUGUCCAAGGGAGAAGGUGCUGGAGGAGCGUGUUCUGCUCCUCAAGACUGUGGCUCAGAAGCAACACAUGUCUCUUCUACUCCCAUUGGCCAGAAUUAGUCACAUGGCCCCAACCUAACUGCAGUGGUGGCUGAGAGUGUUGUCUUCCUGAGUACCCAGAAAGAGGAAAAUGCAAAAAGAUUUGGUGAAAAUAUAGCAUUGUCUUUGCCAUAACAAACAUACUUCCUUUGUUGAUUUUUUUAAAUCAAAGGCAAUAAUUGGAGAUAAAUGUGUUAUAUCUCCUCUUGGAGAAUAUUUUGUUGUCAUGUUAAAAGCCUCUGAAAAGUCUUGCUGUAAAUAUGGAACUUUUAUUUAAUCUGGCAUUUCCCAGAUUUGGUGAUUGAGGCCUUUUAAAUAAUUUAAUAGCUUUGGAAUUAAUAUUUGGAGAUAUAAACUUUGGGAAAUUGCCCUAAAUGUGUCAACUGGUGAGUCCAAAUCUGUGGGGGGAAAAUGAUGAGCAAAGAGAUGAGUAAUGUGUUCUACAAAAGUAGAGGACAGUCAGGUGCAGUGGCUCAGGCCUGUAAUCUCAGCACUUUGGGAGGCUGAGGUGGGCAGAUCACCUGUUAGGAGUUCAAGACCAGCCUGGCCAACAUGGUGAAACCCUGUUUCUACUAAAAAUAUAAAAAUUAGCCGGGGGUUGUGGCGGACACCUGUAAUCCCAGCUUCUAGGGAGGCUGAGGCAGGGG
rnacentral:lncRNA from 1 species